UUUUUUUUUUUUGGGUACCGAAGAAAGUAUAUUUAUAGAGUAAUUGGGUCUGAGAUUGGUGGGUUUUGUGAUUGUUAUUAUGUUGAGUUGUUAA